rnacentral:rRNA from 1 species
GUCGAGGGGUAACAGUAUGUAGCAAUACAUAGCUGACGACCGGCCCCCUUAAGAGUAACGCGUAUGCAACCUGUCCGUUACAGGGGGCUUGCCCAUGGAAACGUGGAUUAACACUCCAUAAUAUAAUAUAGAGGCAUCUUUGUAUUAUUAAAUAUUCAUAGGUAACGGUUGGGCAUGCGUCCUAUUAGAUAGUUGGGGGGGUAACGGCCCACCAAGUCGAUGAUAGGUAGGGGUUCUGAGAGGAAGGUCCCCCACACUGGUACUGAGACACGGACCAGACUCCUACGGGAGGCAGCAGUGAGGAAUAUUGGUCAAUGGGCGAGAGCCUGAACCAGCCAAGUCGCGUGAGGGAUGACUGCCCUAUGGGUUGUAAACCUCUUUUGUAUGUUGGGAAUAAGCUUUACGAGUAGAGUGAUGACAGUACCAUACGAAUAAGCAUCGGCUAACUCCGUGCCAGCAGCCGCGGUAAUACGGAGGAUGCGAGCGUUAUCCGGAUUUAUUGGGUUUAAAGGGUGCGUAGGCGGCAUUAUAAGUUAGUGGUAAAAUAUUGGGGCUUCACCUCACUACGCCAUUAAUACUGUAGAGCUAGAGAACAGACGAGGUAGGCGGAAUAAGUUAAGUAGCGGUGAAAUGCAUAGAUAUAACUUAGAACACCGAUAGCGAAGGCAGCUUACCAGACUGAGUCUGACGCUGAUGCACGAGAGCAUGGGUAGCGAACAGGAUUAGAUACCCUGGUAGUCCAUGCCGUAAACGAUGCUCACUGGCCUUAGGCGAUAUACGGUCUGA